UGGUAGUCCAUGCCGUAAACGUUGGGCACUAGGUGUGGGGGACAUUCCACGUUCUCCGCGCCGUAGCUAACGCAUUAAGUGCCCCGCCUGGGGAGUACGGCCGCAAGGCUAAAACUCAAAGGAAUUGGCGGGGGCCCGCACAAGCGGCGGAGCAUGCGGAUUAAUUCGAUGCAACGCGAAGAACCUUACCAAGGCUUGACAUGAACCGGAACGGCGCAGAGAUGUGUCGGCCACUUGUGGCCGGUUUACAGGUGGUGCAUGGUUGUCGUCAGCUCGUGUCGUGAGAUGUUGGGUUAAGUCCCGCAACGAGCGCAACCCUCGUUCCAUGUUGCCAGCGGGUUAUGCCGGGGACUCAUGGGAGACUGCCGGGGUCAACUCGGAGGAAGGUGGGGACGACGUCAAAUCAUCAUGCCCCUUAUGUCUUGGGCUUCACGCAUGCUACAAUGGCCGGUACAAAGGGUUGCGAUGCUGUGAGGUGGAGCUAAUCCCAAAAAGCCGGUCUCAGUUCGGAUUGAGGUCUGCAACUCGACCUCAUGAAGUCGGAGUCGCUAGUAAUCGCAGAUCAGCAACGCUGC
rnacentral:rRNA from 1 species